rnacentral:lncRNA from 1 species
UUUUUUUUUUUUUUUUUUUUUGGUGGAAAAAAACAAGUCUGCCAGACAUAUCUCAUGCAAAAUUUAAAUUUUUCUUCUAAUCUCCAAACUGUACUGGACUUGUUGCAUGUACGUUCUUUAAAGUCUUGGGCAUAGUUGUUGCAGUCUCUACUAUGGACUCAUCUCCACUCAGGAAAGUAGGACAUCUGCCUAUGAGAUGGCUGGCAAAACAUCCUUUGGUAGUGCCCCAAGCUUUAAAGCUCUCUUAAGCAAAUUUUCCUUCCCAAAUUUUCUACUUGUUUCCACUUUGUAAAUGCUGCUGAUCUCCCAUCCAUCUGCUUGUCUUACAGUGGGAUCUGUGAGGCUCCUUCCUUUGAACUUCUCCUUCAGCAUUCCUUUCACCUGAAAUGGCCACAGUUAAAGUGAUGAUCACAAGCCCUGACCCAUGCUGUCGAGCUGUGUGGUGCAGGGACUGCCAGUGGGGUUAACCUGUCCGUGGGAGCUUUUUCAAAUCUUCCGUUCUCCAAAGGCUCUAGAAGCAUUUGAAGUUACUUUGGAAAAAGGUGUUGGAGAGAGGAAGAAAGUCUUUAGGCUGCCAUUAUUUGAAAACUACAUCAUGAUUUCACCAUCUAUACACUGA